GGAAAGAUUUAUUACUUGCUCAGCAAAUAUCUGCACUAAAACUAAACAAACUAACUUUGUGCCUCAAAUGACAUACUCAUGUAGUAUUCUAGAUCAUUAUUUACCCCUGUUACUGUCUGAUACAUAAACCCUUCAGUAACGUGUGCUAUUUUCCAUGUGUAUUUAAAAUCUUGGGGUCAUUUGGAGGUCAUUUUCUAGGACUCCUCCUUACAUAAGAGUAAUAAAUGGAGGUUAUAAAAAGAGCAGAAUGCACAGUUAGAGCUCUACCUCAGUAUUUCAAUCAUCUGCACUUGUGAUUGCUUGUGACCUUUCAGUUAUGAUCAUAUUAUUGUAAACAUUGUUUCAUUGAUCUGGGUUUUAAAUAAAUGAUGUAUUUUUUGCUAGGAGCCUCCUGGAGACACCUACAGAGCCAUCACCAGCACACUGAAGGCUCUUCUGAAAGACAAAAGUCUGACAUUCCAGAAGAGCAGUUGGUAUGGUGAUGAUCUCCGUCCUGCUGCCUGGGACUACGUAUUCAGCCUGGACCUUCUCUGUGCACAAAUGGGCUGGAUUUGGACCUUCUCCCAUGUUAUACGGGCGACUUGGCCAACAUGGCCUUAAGGAGAACGUGGCAGCAUCAGUGGAGGAUCUGGUGAAAAGCAUAACUGAGUUCAGGGGACAAAAAGAUUUGCCGUGGACGCUUUAGAAUCGUGGAAGAAAGACCUCACAAAUCCCAUUCCUCCAGCCGUCUCCAAGUGCCUGAAGCA